rnacentral:tRNA from 1 species
GGGCGUUUAACUCAGUUGGUAGAGUGCUUGCUUCGCAAGAUCGCGUGCAUUGCUUACGUAAUCUGAAUGCACGAAGUCGUGGGUUCAAUUCCCACAAUGUCCA